rnacentral:lncRNA from 1 species
AACACGGUGAUGGCUAGAAACCUCCAAGCGGUGUCGAUGCCGAACCGAUCAAAAGCACAAGAAACUCGAUAAAGAUGACCUAAUACAAAGAUGAGUAAGGAACCUUCGAACAACAUCGACAUCGCACGGGACAGAAGUGAAAGAAGUCCGACGCACGACAAUUCAACACGACGUACGAGUAAGGUAACAAAAACCUUUUCAUUUCAUUAACAAGAUGCAUGUUACAAGGCCCUGAGGGCCAAAAAAAAAAACAUUACUAU